rnacentral:rRNA from 1 species
UACGAAGGGGGCUAGCGUUGCUCGGAAUUACUGGGCGUAAAGGGCGCGUAGGCGGACAGUUAAGUCGGGGGUGAAAGCCCGGGGCUCAACCUCGGAAUUGCCUUCGAUACUGGCUGUCUUGAGUGCGGGAGAGGUGUGUGGAACUCCGAGUGUAGAGGUGAAAUUCGUAGAUAUUCGGAAGAACACCAGUGGCGAAGGCGACACACUGGCCCGUUACUGACGCUGAGGCGCGAAAGCGUGGGGCGCAAACAGG